GAUGAACGCUGGCGGCGUGCUUAAUACAUGCAAGUCGAACGGAGACAUUAGCAAUAAUGUUUUAGUGGCGAACGGGUGAGUAACGCGUUGGUGACCUGCCCCGAAGAGAGGGAUAACAGUCCGAAAGGAUUGCUAAUACCCCAUGUGGUUGUUUGGAUUAGAUGCCUUACAACUAAACGGAUUUAUUCGCUUCGGGAGGGGCCUGCGUACCAUCAGCUUGUUGGUAGGGUAAUGGCCUACCAAGGCUAUGACGGUUAGGGGACCUGAGAGGGUGGCCCCCCACAAUGGAACUGAAACACGGUCCAUACACCUACGGGUGGCAGCAGUAGGGAAUAUUGGUUAAUCUGCGAAAGCGGGAACCAGCAACGCCGCGUGCACGAUGAAGGCCUUCGGUUGUAAAGUGCUUUUGUAGAGGAUGAGGAAGGACAGUACUCUUAGAAUAAGCUUCGGCUAACUACGUG
rnacentral:rRNA from 1 species